AGAGUUUGAUCAUGGCUCAGAUUGAACGCUGGCGGCAGGCCUAACACAUGCAAGUCGAGCGGUAGAGAGAAGCUUGCUUCUCUUGAGAGCGGCGGACGGGUGAGUAAUACCUAGGAAUCUGCCUGGUAGUGGGGGAUAACGUUCGGAAACGGACGCUAAUACCGCAUACGUCCUACGGGAGAAAGCAGGGGACCUUCGGGCCUUGCGCUAUCAGAUGAACCUAGGUCGGAUUAGCUAGUUGGUGAGGUAAUGGCUCACCAAGGCUACGAUCCGUAACUGGUCUGAGAGGAUGAUCAGUCACACUGGAACUGAGACACGGUCCAGACUCCUACGGGAGGCAGCAGUGGGGAAUAUUGGACAAUGGGCGAAAGCCUGAUCCAGCCAUGCCGCGUGUGUGAAGAAGGUCUUCGGAUUGUAAAGCACUUUAAGUUGGGAGGAAGGGCAUUAACCUAAUACGUUAGUGUUUUGACGUUACCGACAGAAUAAGCACCGGCUAACUCUGUGCCAGCAGCCGCGGUAAUACAGAGGGUGCAAGCGUUAAUCGGAAUUACUGGGCGUAAAGCGCGCGUAGGUGGUUUGUUAAGUUGAAUGUGAAAUCCCCGGGCUCAACCUGGGAACUGCAUCCAAAACUGGCAAGCUAGAGUAUGGUAGAGGGUAGUGGAAUUUCCUGUGUAGCGGUGAAAUGCGUAGAUAUAGGAAGGAACACCAGUGGCGAAGGCGACUACCUGGACUGAUACUGACACUGAGGUGCGAAAGCGUGGGGAGCAAACAGGAUUAGAUACCCUGGUAGUCCACGCCGUAAACGAUGUCAACUAGCCGUUGGGAGUCUUGAACUCUUAGUGGCGCAGCUAACGCAUUAAGUUGACCGCCUGGGGAGUACGGCCGCAAGGUUAAAACUCAAAGGAAUUGACGGG
rnacentral:rRNA from 1 species